UGGGGAAUCUUGCGCAAUGGGCGAAAGCCUGACGCAGCAACGCCGCGUGCGGGAUGAAGGCCCUCGGGUCGUAAACCUCUGUCGAAAGAGACGAAAGUAUCGUGAGCUAAUACCUCAUGGUAUCGACGGUACCUUUAAAGGAAGUGCCGGCUAACUCCGUGCCAGCAGCCGCGGUAAUACGGAGGGCACAAGCGUUGUUCGGAAUUAUUGGGCGUAAAGCGCGUGUAGGCGGCUUGGCAAGUCGGGUGUGAAAGCCCGGGGCUCAACCCCGGAAUUGCAUUCGAAACUGCCAAGCUAGAGUCUCGGAGAGGAGGGCGGAAUUCCCGGUGUAGAGGUGAAAUUCGUAGAUAUCGGGAGGAACACCAGUGGCGAAGGCGGCCCUCUGGACGAUGACUGACGCUGAGACGCGAAAGCGUGGGGAGCAAACAGGAUUAGAUACCCUGGUAGUCCACGCCGUAAACGUUGGGUGCUAGGUGUCGCGGGUAUUGACCCCUGCGGUGCCGGCGUUAACGCAUUUAGCACCCCGCCUGGGGAGUACGGUCGCAAGGCUG
rnacentral:rRNA from 1 species